CCUACGGGAGGCAGCAGUGGGGAAUAUUGGACAAUGGGGGGAACCCUGAUCCAGCCAUGCCGCGUGUGUGAAGAAGGCCUUUUGGUUGUAAAGCACUUUAAGCGAGGAGGAGGCUACCUAGAUUAAUACUUUAGGAUAGUGGACGUUACUCGCAGAAUAAGCACCGGCUAACUCUGUGCCAGCAGCCGCGGUAAU
rnacentral:rRNA from 1 species